rnacentral:lncRNA from 1 species
UUAUUUUGAUUUUUAUUUGAAAAAAGAAAAUAGAUUUUAGAUAAAUCAAACGAAUGUGUUCUAAAAAUUCAAAGACAAAAAAUUAUAUUUAAAUAACCUAUCAUUUUUUCUAUAAAAAAUAUUUGUUGAUUUUAAUAUUUUUUUAAUAUAAAUUCUAAAUCUAAAAGGGCCAAACCUAAAUAAAACAAGAAGGACUUGGGCUCAAAUGGAACUAGUGGCCCAAGAUAAGACUUACAAGCCUAAUAUAUCUAAAUAAUAAAUAAUAAUAAAGAGUAAAAAAAUAAUGAAAAAGAAGAAAAAAUUAUAAAAAAGUAAAAUCAAG